rnacentral:lncRNA from 1 species
GCUAUGUGUUAGAACAUUCCACGAGCACCCCGAGCACAUUGAAUCUGCAGUUGUGCAUGACCGUAGGCUCCAGAAAAAAGAAGAAUGAAGUGUAACAUAAAAUUUAUAAUAAGAGUAUGAAAUUACACGUUCUUUUCAAAAAGAAAUCUUAAGAAUUAAUGUUAGAUUACCGACUGCUAGUCUAGAGUAUAAUCAUAGGAGGAAAAUAUAUCUUGAUUCACAAUCUAAAUACCUUUGUUUGGAUAAGUAUAGAUAGGGUAAUUGAGUGUCUAGAGAAAAGAGAAAUCAAAGUGUUUUUUUGAACCACUAUGAAAAUUCUCUCAUAUUCAAAAGCGAUGAUUUUCUCAUAUUUAAAAAACUAAAUGGUAGUUUUUCAUUUUGGUGGGAAAUCAAUUCCCUCAUCUAUUCAAAUUCAAAUGGAUUGAGUUGACCCAUCAUGGGCACCUAACCCGGAUCCAUAAACACCAACAUUAUAGCUAUUCACCUGUUAGGGAUAAAUAAUAGCUCGAACAUUGAACAACUUGAUGGGUCAAUAAUUUUGUCACAAACACGACCCAACUCACCAAUAAAUCAAGGUUGUCCAAUGGGUUGAGUUCCCCGAGUCAGGUCUGAGUUGGGUUAGAAUUCAAAAAAGGGGUUCAGGUUUUGACUGCCACCUUAUUGUUGUUAGGUCACAUGAGAGACAUGUUGUGUAAGACUAGUUUUCGAAAGAAGCUUGGUGAUGAUUCAAAUAACUUCCAAUUAGUUUGGAUAAAGAUUAUUGUAAAAGGCUAAAGUUGUUCUCUCAACAUACUAAUGG